rnacentral:rRNA from 1 species
GUGGGGAAUAUUGGACAAUGGGCGCAAGCCUGAUCCAGCCAUGCCGCGUGAGUGAUGAAGGCCCUAGGGUUGUAAAGCUCUUUCACCGGAGAAGAUAAUGACGGUAUCCGGAGAAGAAGCCCCGGCUAACUUCGUGCCAGCAGCCGCGGUAAUACGAAGGGGGCUAGCGUUGUUCGGAAUUACUGGGCGUAAAGCGCACGUAGGCGGAUAUUUAAGUCAGGGGUGAAAUCCCGGAGCUCAACUCCGGAACUGCCUUUGAUACUGGGUAUCUCGAGUAUGGAAGAGGUGAGUGGAAUUCCGAGUGUAGAGGUGAAAUUCGUAGAUAUUCGGAAGAACACCAGUGGCGAAGGCGGCUCACUGGACAGGUAUUGACGCUGAGGUGCGAAAGCGUGGGGAGCAAACAGGAUUAGAUACCCGAGUAGUCC